rnacentral:rRNA from 1 species
UACGUAGGUCCCGAGCGUUGUCCGGAUUUAUUGGGCGUAAAGCGAGCGCAGGUGGUUUAUUAAGUCUGGUGUAAAAGGCAGUGGCUCAACCAUUGUAUGCAUUGGAAACUGGUAGACUUGAGUGCAGGAGAGGAGAGUGGAAUUCCAUGUGUAGCGGUGAAAUGCGUAGAUAUAUGGAGGAACACCGGUGGCGAAGGCGAUUCUCUGGACUGUAACUGACGCUGAGGCUCGAAAGCGUGGGGAGCAAACAGG